GCGCCAGUAGUCUAGCCUGGUAGGACGCGAGCCUUCCAAGCUUGCGACCCGGGUUCAAAUCCCGGCUGGCGCA
rnacentral:tRNA from 1 species